AACGAACGCUGGCGGCAGGCCUAACUCAUGCAAGUCGAACGCUCCGCAAGGGGAGUGGCGCACGGGUGAGUAACGCGUGGGAAUAUGCCCUUCGGUUCGGAAUAACACAGGGAAACUUGUGCUAAUACCGGAUACGAUCUACGGAUGAAAGAUUCAUCGCCGAAGGAGUAGCCCGCGUAGGAUUAGCUAGUUGGUGAGGUAAUGGCUCACCAAGGCGACGAUCCUUAGCUGGUCUGAGAGGAUGAUCAGCCACACUGGGACUGAGACACGGCCCAGACUCCUACGGGAGGCAGCAGUGGGGAAUAUUGGACAAUGGGCGAAAGCCUGAUCCAGCCAUGCCGCGUGAGUGAUGAAGGCCUUAGGGUUGUAAAGCUCUUUCGCCAGGGAAGAUAAUGACGGUACCUGGAAAAGAAGCCUCGGCUAACUCCGUGCCAGCCGCCGCAGUAAUAC
rnacentral:rRNA from 1 species